CCUACGGGAGGCAGCAGUGGGGAAUAUUGCACAAUGGGCGCAAGCCUGAUGCAGCCAUGCCGCGUGUGUGAAGAAGGCCUUCGGGUUGUAAAGCACUUUCAGCGGGGAGGAAAGCGUUAAGGUUAAUACCCUUGGCGAUUGACGUUACCCGCAGAAGAAGCACCGGCUAACUCCGUGCCAGCAGCCGCGGUAAUACGGAGGGUGCAAGCGUUAAUCGGAAUUACUGGGCGCAAAGCGCACGCAGGCGGUCUGUCAAGUCGGAUGUGAAAUCCCCGGGCUCAACCUGGGAACUGCAUUCGAAACUGGCAGGCUAGAGUCUUGUAGAGGGGGGUAGAAUUCCAGGUGUAGCGGUGAAAUGCGUAGAGAUCUGGAGGAAUACCGGUGGCGAAGGCGGCCCCCUGGACAAAGACUGACGCUCAGGUGCGAAAGCGUGGGGAGCAAACAGGAUUAGAUACCCCUGUAGUC
rnacentral:rRNA from 1 species